GGAGGAUUGGCGGAGCGGUCGAACGUACCUGUCUUGAAAACAGACGAACCGCAAGGUUCCGGGGGUUCAACUCCCUCAUCCUCCG
rnacentral:tRNA from 1 species